GAUCCUGGCUCAGAAUCAACGCUGGCGGCGUGCCUAACACAUGCAAGUCGUACGCGAAAGUCCCGCAAGGGAUCGGUAGCGUGGCAAACGGGUGAGUAACGCGUGGGUGACCUGCCCUCGAGUGGGGGAUAACGUCCCGAAAGGGGGCGCUAAUACCGCAUGACAUCCUGCCUUUAGACAGGUGGACAUCAAAGCUGGGGAUCCGCAAGGACCUGGCGCUCGAGGAGGGGCCCGCGUCCGAUUAGCUAGUUGGUGAGGUAACGGCCCACCAAGGCUCCGAUCGGUAUCCGGCCUGAGAGGGCGGACGGACACACUGGGACUGAGACACGGCCCAGACUCCUACGGGAGGCAGCAGUGGGGAAUUGUUCGCAAUGGGCGCAAGCCUGACGACGCAACGCCGCGUGGAGGACGAAGAUUUUCGGAUCGUAAACUCCUGUCGAGCGGGACGAACACCGCGCGGGUGAAUAGCCCGUGCGGCUGACGGUACCGCGAGAGGAAGCCCCGGCUAACUCCGUGCCAGCAGCCGCGGUAAUACGGGGGGGGCAAGCGUUGUUCGGAAUUACUGGGCGUAAAGGGCUCGUAGGCGGCCAACUAAGUCAGACGUGAAAUCCCUCGGCUUAACCGGGGAACUGCGUCUGAUACUGGAUGGCUUGAGAUUGGGAGAGGGAUGCGGAAUUCCAGGUGUAGCGGUGAAAUGCGUAGAUAUCUGGAGGAACACCGGUGGCGAAGGCGACAUCCUGGACCAACACUGACGCUGAGGAGCGAAAGCCAGGGGAGCAAACG
rnacentral:rRNA from 1 species